CACCUACCAAGGAGUUUCUUAAUCUAGUCAAAUUGACUAUCAAGAUUAACCAUCACAAGGAAAAAGGGCCAAAGGUAGAUAUACUGAGAGAAAAUCCAAAGUUCUUAAAGAUGAAAAUAUAGUGUGAGAAAAGUAAUUAGAAGUUAAAUCAUCAGAGUAUGGAAGAACAAAGCCAAAGAAGAAAUGAGCAGGCAUUCUUUGGACACCAGGAGGUGCCAGAGCUGCGGGUGUGGUCUAGACAAGGUUGUUCUGUUCACAGUGGAGAGAAACCCUUUCAAGACUGCAAGGAUUAAGGAGAGAAAAGGGACUGCUCAUCUUUCUCUGCAGCCGCCUGUUCCUUUGAAUUUGCACUUGGAAGGAGAAGAAAAGAGCAGAGUAAAAAAGGAGGACUAAAGGUGGAGGAGGAAGUUUAACCUCAGAUUCUGCACCUGUGCUGCAAAAAGCUUCCUUGAGGGCAGGAGGAUGGCUACCAUUGGAUUUAUGUCCCUACCGAGGUCUUUGACCUAUUAAGUCCCCCGUGAAGGUCUUGGCUUGUUGGAUAACAAAAGGCUUACAGGAUCAGAAGUGGAAGAGUCUCAAUUGCCAUCUGCUGAUUAGAGGUGGAAGAAUCCACAAUGGCUGUCUGUGCCCUGGCCUGGAAGCCCACAGUGCUCACAGGUUUCACUGCAAAGUCCCGGAUACAAGUCUGUGUUGGAAAGCUGAUAAGUCUAUACUGGAAGACUGAAGGAACUAGAGACGAACAUUCAAAGGACUUGGCAACGACUGGGGCUCCUCUGAUAAAAG
ensembl:lncRNA